CUCUAGUAGCUGUGGUCCGGGAUCGGGACCGGCUGCCAUCUUAGUCCAGGGACUGAAGAGUCGCCGACGCCCCGAGUCCAGGUAACAUGCAUUUAACAGUGGCCUUCUGGAGACACCACCUUAACUCAAAGAAGUGACUUCAGACAGUGAAAACUUCAGGUUUGCCAUUCUGUUGGUGGUAUGUCUGACAGUGGAUCACAGCUUGGUUCAAUGGGUAGCCUGACCAUGAAAUCACAACUUCAGAUCACUGUCAUUUCAGCAAAACUUAAAGAAAAUAAAAAGAAUUGGUUUGGACCAAGUCCUUAUGUGGAAGUCACAGUAGAUGGGCAGUCAAAGAAGACAGAAAAAUGCAACAAUACAAACAGUCCCAAAUGGAAGCAACCUCUUACAGUUAUCGUCACUCCUGUGAGUAAAUUACAUUUUCGUGUGUGGAGUCACCAGACACUGAAAUCUGAUGUUUUGUUGGGAACUGCUGCAUUAGAUAUCUAUGAAACAUUAAAGUCAAACAAUAUGAAACUUGAGGAAGUAGUUGUGACUUUACAGCUUGUAGGUGACAAAGAACCAACAGAAACAAUAGGAGAUUUGUCAGUUUGUCUUGAUGGGCUGCAGCUAGAGUCUGAAGUUGUUGCUAAUGGUGAAACCGCAUGUUCAGAAAGUGCUUCACAGAAUGAUGAUGGCUCCAGACCCAAAGAUGAAACAAGAGUGAAUACGAAUGGAUCAGACGACCCUGAGGAUGCAGGGUCUGGUGAAAAUAGGAGGGUCAAUGGGAAUAAUUCUCCAUCACUCUCAAAUGGUGGUUUUAAACCUUCCAGGCCUCCAAGACCUUCACGACCACCUCCACCUACCCCACGUAGACCAGCAUCUGUCAAUGGCUCACCAUCUGCCACUUCUGAAAGUGAUGGCUCUAGUACAGGCUCUCUUCCACCAACAAAUACAAAUUCAAAUACAUCUGAAGGAGCAACGUCUGGAUUAAUAAUUCCUCUUACUAUAUCUGGAGGCUCAGGCCCUAGGCCAUUAAAUCCUGUACCUCAGGCUCCCCUCCCACCUGGUUGGGAGCAGAGAGUAGACCAGCAUGGACGAGUUUACUAUGUAGACCAUAUUGAAAAAAGAACAACGUGGGAUAGACCAGAACCUCUACCUCCUGGCUGGGAACGGCGGGUUGACAACAUGGGACGUAUUUAUUAUGUUGACCAUUUCACAAGAACAACAACAUGGCAGAGGCCAACAUUGGAAUCCGUCCGGAACUAUGAGCAAUGGCAGCUCCAACGUAGUCAACUUCAAGGAGCUAUGCAGCAAUUUAACCAGAGGUUCAUUUAUGGGAAUCAAGAUUUGUUUGCUACAUCACAAAAUAAAGAAUUUGAUCCCCUGGGUCCUCUGCCACCUGGAUGGGAGAAGAGAACGGACAGCAAUGGUAGAGUAUAUUUUGUCAACCACAAUACUCGUAUUACACAAUGGGAAGACCCCAGAAAUCAAGGUCAAUUAAAUGAAAAGCCCUUACCUGAAGGCUGGGAAAUGAGAUUCACAGUAGAUGGAAUUCCAUAUUUUGUGGACCACAAUAGAAGAACAACCACCUAUAUAGAUCCCCGCACCGGAAAAUCUGCCUUAGACAAUGGACCCCAGAUAGCCUAUGUACGGGACUUCAAGGCAAAGGUUCAGUAUUUCCGGUUCUGGUGUCAGCAACUGGCCAUGCCACAGCACAUAAAGAUUACAGUGACAAGAAAAACACUGUUUGAGGAUUCCUUUCAACAGAUAAUGAGCUUCAGUCCCCAAGAUCUGCGAAGACGUUUGUGGGUGAUUUUUCCAGGAGAAGAAGGUUUAGAUUAUGGAGGUGUAGCAAGAGAAUGGUUCUUUCUUUUGUCACAUGAGGUGUUGAACCCAAUGUAUUGCCUGUUUGAAUAUGCAGGGAAGGAUAACUACUGCUUGCAAAUAAACCCUGCUUCUUACAUCAAUCCAGAUCACCUGAAAUAUUUUCGUUUUAUUGGCAGGUUUAUUGCUAUGGCUUUGUUCCAUGGGAAAUUCAUAGACACAGGUUUUUCUUUGCCAUUCUAUAAGCGUAUCUUGAACAAACCAGUUGGACUCAAGGAUUUAGAAUCUAUUGAUCCAGAAUUUUACAAUUCUCUCAUCUGGGUUAAAGAAAACAAUAUUGAGGAAUGUGGUUUGGAAAUGUAUUUCUCCGUCGACAAAGAAAUUUUAGGUGAGAUCAAGAGUCAUGAUUUGAAACCCAAUGGCGGCAAUAUUCUUGUAACAGAAGAAAAUAAAGAGGAAUAUAUCAGAAUGGUAGCUGAAUGGAGGUUGUCUCGCGGUGUUGAAGAACAGACACAAGCUUUCUUUGAGGGCUUUAAUGAAAUUCUUCCCCAGCAGUAUUUGCAGUACUUUGAUGCAAAGGAAUUAGAGGUUCUUUUAUGUGGAAUGCAAGAGAUUGAUUUGAAUGACUGGCAAAGACAUGCCAUCUACCGUCAUUACACUAGGACAAGCAAACAAAUCAUGUGGUUUUGGCAGUUUGUUAAAGAAAUCGAUAAUGAGAAGAGAAUGAGACUUUUGCAGUUUGUUACUGGGACCUGCCGAUUGCCAGUUGGAGGAUUUGCUGACCUCAUGGGGAGCAAUGGGCCACAGAAAUUCUGCAUUGAAAAAGUUGGGAAAGAAAAUUGGUUGCCUAGAAGUCAUACCUGUUUUAACCGCCUGGACCUGCCACCCUACAAGAGCUAUGAGCAACUGAAGGAAAAGCUGUUAUUUGCUAUUGAAGAAACAGAAGGGUUUGGACAAGAGUGACUUCUGAGAGCUUGCACUGCCAAAGGACAAGAACUGAUUUGCAACAUUUGUCCUUUUCCUUCUUUGCCUAUUGCACAUCUUGUAAAAUUGGACUGUGACUGUUUAGAGAGUUAUUGGAGUAUAAGUAAAUUAUUGUUAUCAUUGAGAUUUAUUUCCCAGUGAUUCUGGAUUUUUUCUCAGCAUUUCCAGAAAUCAGAUCUGCAGACGACUGGUCAAAACCUUACUUAACAUGAGAUUAACACAACAAUGAAAUCUGCCUUGUCUUAUUCCACUAGAUUGUUUUCUUUAACAAAAAUUUUGUAUAUGUGUAUCAGAAGUCUCACUUGGGAGUAGGUUUUUUUCUUUUAGAGAUUCUGAAAACAUGCAGGGAAGUCCCUUGGUAACUAAAAUAUGUAAGAUCUUCUAUUAAGCCUCCUGGUAUAUGAGGUAUUUGUUUAAAAUAGCCCAGCUUCUGGGGUUGUGAGCAAACUUCUGGCUUGUGCUCUCCUCUUAUUUCAGCCUGGCCUGACUAUUGUUUUUCCUUUCCGGAGCAUGAAAUCCAUGCAUCAUUUUGAUGUUAUCCCUAGAAAGGAGAAGUGCAAGACUCUUGUAUCUCUCUGCAAAAUAGUUUUGUUAAUUUGAAUUCAGAGAGAAGUUGGUCCCAGCCUGCAAAUGACUGCAUAAGUCUCUUCAUUUGGAAGUUUGAUUGUUUUAAUUGCCUUGCAAAUACUAAACUUCACAAACAAUGUUAACACCAGGCUUCCUUCACUGUCUGUAUAAAAGUUAACCUAGAAUUGGAUUUAAUUUAGCUGAAUUCAUCAAAGGCCAUCAACAGUUUUUUAUGUUCCUGUAUAUUACUUGCAUCUUUAUAAUUUUAUCAUAAUCCAACAACUUCAGUUACAUUUAAUUAUUGCUAAGGAGUUCAGGUUAAAACUAGAGUGCUUUCUAAUCCACGUAGAGGUCAGUGAAACAUCCUGUAAAAUUACAUUUUCAUUAGGGAGGGAGAGCUGUGGUACUGGCUAAAAAGAAGGAAGUAAUACAUUUAUUAGCAAUACAUUUCUAAUAACCACAGAAAUUAUUCUCUAUGUGAAUUAAAACUUUUUAAAUUGAUAAUGUCUCUGACACAUGUUAGAGUAGUCAUUUCCAUUCUUUCCCUUGUCCUGAUCUGGAUAUUCUGUUCACCUCUAAAAAUGUUAACAGGUGUUUCCCCAUGACUAUUUAAUAUUAGAUUGCUCUGUUAGUAACUGAUUAAUGCACUUUGACCUUCUCUGUGGUAAUUUUUUUAAUUUAGUCUGCUUAGACUCUGUCAAGAUGACUGCUAUCAGAGGUUUGACUUAAUGGACAGUGGGAGGAAGCCUAAGCCAGCUGAGUGCCUAUUAUAGCUGAACACUGAGGACAGACUCAUAACUCAUGAAAUAGGGACUUUGGCAAGUUUCAGUAGCAUAGCAUGAACAAGUAGCAUUGAGCCAAAAAUAAGCAGAGAAUACUAAACCCCUGUUCUAUAUGGAAAGAAAAUGGGGGGUUUCACCCCUAACUGCUCUUCCUUUUCCAUCUUGGAACAACAACAGAAACACUUGGAAACUUGUGUAUCUAUACUCUAAAACACUGCCAUCGUAAAGCAGACACGUGAGAGAAAGGGUUGCCUCAUCCAGAAAUUGUUAGUGUAAAGGGAGAGAUUGGGGUCCCCACCAGUCCUACCUUUAUUUUGAUUUUAUUCUACCUAUAAUAUGGUCUCUGAAAGCUCUAAGUUGUUUUCAAAGUAGCUGUGUUGGUAGGGGGCAAAAAGCACUAUUGCUUUGUCUUACAGGGCGAAUGUCUGCCAAUUACCCAUUCGUUAUACAAGUCUGAACUUUGGUUAAUACAUGGCUGUGGAGAUUAAGCCUUCUAUAAAGACUUCCUGUUGAGGUACUGGGGCUUCCUAGAUGGUGCAGUGGUUAAGAAUCCGCCUGACAACGCAGAGGUCACGGGUUCGAUCCCAGCUCCAGGAAGAUCCCACAUGCCGUGGAGCAACUAAGCCCAUGUGCCAAAAAAAAUAAAAAUAAAAAAUAAAAAAAAAUAAAAAAUAAAAUAAAAUUCAGGUACUAAUUUUUCAUCAAGAGAUUGACAUACCAAUGUCAAUUCAUCAGAAAUUUUAGUGAAACAUGACUUACCUGCCUAAAGAGGUCUCAUCCUAAAUGAACUAUUUCAGUCAAGCCCACUCUGCCACUUUUUAUUUACCUGGUUAAUAAUCUGAAAUGUUAUUAGGGAUGACUCAUGGAAUUAGACUUCUCUAUUUUUAUAUCCCUCCUUGUUUUGGAUGUAACUCCAUCCUUUUAAACUCCUUUAGGUUAACUACAACUAUUUAAUAUUGUUGGCAUCUCCAGCCCCCCUCAUUUUUUUGUUUUUCUUUUAGAGUUACUUACAGUAUUACUUGUAUAUAUGCUAUGCUUUCAUUGACCAAAAAUGGAAUGGCAGCACUGGAUUGUGUAUUACUAUAUUGGAGUUCCUUUGCUUUCUUGAACUGUAAUUUCAAACACUCAGGUAACUCUACAAAUACCACAAGGAGUCAAGUGCUCUUAUAAAGGUCCUGCAGGGGGCUGCCACACUUGGAUUUCCUUAAAAGAUGUGAGACUGUUUACAAUUAAACU